rnacentral:rRNA from 1 species
GGGGUGUGAGAGCAUGGCCCCCCACAAUGGGACUGGAACACGGGCCAUACUCCUACGGGAGGCAGCAGCAGGGAAUAUUGCACAAUGGACGGAAGUCUGAUGCAGCGACGCCGCGUGGAUGAAGAAUGCCCUCGGGUUGUAAAAUCCUUUACAGGGGGAAGAGGAAGGACGGUACCCCUGGAACAAGUGUCGGCUAACUACGUGCCAGCAGCCGCGGUAAGACGUAGGACACAAGCGUUAUCCGGAUUUACUGGGCGUAAAGCGUCUGCAGGCGGACAGGUAAGUUGGGCGUGAAAGCUCCGGGCCCAACCCGGAGAGGUCGUUCAAUACUGCGUGUCUAGAGGGUGUCAGAGGGGAGUGGAAUUUCCGGAGUAGCGGUAAAAUGCGCAGAGAUCGGAAAGAACACCAAUGGCGAAGGCAGCUCCCUGGGGCAACCCUGACGCUAAGAGACGAAAGCUAGGGGAGCGAACAGGAUUAGAGACCCUGGUAGUCCUAGCCCUAAACGAUGGAUGCUGGAUGUGGGGCCAUAGCGCUCCGUGUCGAAGCGAACGCGUUAAGCAUCCCGCCUGGGGACUACGGCCGCAAGGUUAAAACUCAAACGAAUUGACGGGACCCCGCACAAGCAGCGGAGCGUGUGGUUUAAUUCGAUGCUACACGAAGAACCUUACCUGGGUUUGACAUCUAGGUGGUAGUGAAGCGAAAGCGGAGCGACCCUUCGGGGAGCCUAGACAGGUGCUGCAUGGCUGUCGUCAGCUCGUGCCGUGAGGUGUCGGGUUAAGUCCCGUAACGAGCGCAACCCUUGCCCUCCGUUAUACGUGUCAGAGGGGACUGCCGGCGGUAAGCCGGAGGAAGGUGGGGAUGACGUCAAGUCAGCAUGGCCUUUAUAUCCAGGGCUACACACACGCUACAAUGGCCAGUACAAAGGGCAGCGAAGCCGCGAGGUGGAGCGAAUCCCAGCAAAGCUGGUCGUAGUUCGGAUUGCAGGCUGCAACCCGCCUGCAUGAAGCUGGAGUUGCUAGUAACCGCGCGUCAGCCAUAGUGCGGUGAAUACGUUCCCGGGGUUUGUACACACCGCCCGUCACGCCAUGGGAGUCGAUAACGCCUGAAGCCGGUGGCCUAGCUCGGAAGAGAGGGCGCUGUCUAAGGCGGGGUCGGUGACUGGGACGAA